GACGAACGCUGGCGGCGUGCUUAACACAUGCAAGUCGAACGGAAAGGCCCCCUUGUGGGGUACUCGAGUGGCGAACGGGUGAGUAACACGUGAGUAACCUACCCUUGACUUUGGGAUAACUUCAGGAAACUGGGGCUAAUACCGGAUAGGAGCUCCUGCUGCAUGGUGGGGGUUGGAAAGUUUCGGCGGUUGGGGAUGGACUCGCGGCUUAUCAGCUUGUUGGUGGGGUAGUGGCUCACCAAGGCUUUGACGGGUAGCCGGCCUGAGAGGGUGACCGGCCACAUUGGGACUGUGAUACGGCCCAGACUCCUACGGGAGGCAGCAGUGGGGAAUAUUGCACAAUGGGCGGAAGCCUGAUGCAGCAACGCCGCGUGCGGGAUGACGGCCUUCGGGUUGUAAACCGCUUUCGCCUGUGACGAAGCGUGAGUGACGGUAAUGGGUAAAGAAGCACCGGCUAACUACGUG
rnacentral:rRNA from 1 species